GGGGUGGGGAAGUAGAUAGGGUAGGCUAGAAUGGUUGGGCAGGUUGGACACUGCACAAGGGGGCACAGAGUGAGCUCAAGCCAUGCUGGAAAAGAAACCUGGCACCACUCCUCUUGCUUCUGGGAUCAAAGACGGUCUGGCUCCAGCCUCCUCUGGACCCCAGGCUUGGCCUCCCCCCACCUCCAUCACUCCCAUCAUCUGAUGGAUUCUGGAACCUCUGGGAGCUUAGAAAGAAGAAAGAUCA